rnacentral:rRNA from 1 species
CGCACUGCUCAGUAACACGUGGACAACCUGCCCUGAGGACUGGAAUAAUCCCGGGAAACUGGGGGUAAUUCCAGAUAUGUCAGAACUCCUGGAAUGGGUUCUGGCAGAAAGGCUCCGGCGCCUCAGGAUGGGUCUGCGGCCUAUCAGGGUAGUAGUGGGUGUAACGUACCUACUAGCCUACGACGGGUACGGGUUGUGAGAGCAAGAGCCCGGAGAUGGAUUCUGAGACAUGAAUCCAGGCCCUACGGGGUGCAGCAGGCGCGAAAACUUUACAAUGCGGGCAACCGCGAUAAGGGGACCUCGAGUGCUGGGUUACAAACCUGGCUGUUGGGCUGCCUAAAAAGCAGUCUAUAGCAAGGGCCGGGCAAGACCGGUGCCAGCCGCCGCGGUAACACCGGCGGCUCGAGUGGUAACCGCUAUUAUUGGGUCUAAAGGGUCUGUAGCCGGCCGACUAAGUCUCUUGGGAAAUCUGGCAUCUCAAGUGUCAGGCUGCCAGGGGAUACUGGUCGGCUUGGGACCGGGAGAGGUGAGAGGUACCUCGGGGGUAGGGGUGAAAUCUUGUAAUCCUCGAGGGACCACCAGUGGCGAAGGCGUCUCACC